UAGGUUAUAGACACAAGUCAAUACUUUGUAUUCUAGUUACAUUUAUAAAACUAAAAUUUCGAUUGUAAACUAUAGAACAAAAAAUUAUGAAAAUCAAUAAUUGUACCCUGGUUAACUUAUAACUAAGAGCAUCCCCAACGAUAUAUCUUAGCCUAAUCUUAGCAAACAUCUUAGCAUUAGAUUAAGAAGUAGUUCGUUCUUAACCAUUGGAGAUGCUCUAAGAACUUAAAAAAAUUCUCCUAAACAAA
rnacentral:sRNA from 1 species